CUGAAUUCUGCAGUACGAUCACUAUAUGCUCUCGCACCUAGUAUAGAGCCUUAACAAAUACAAUUUAUAUCUCAAAUUUUAAUUUAACUAUUCUAUAUAAUCAAGGUCCUACUUACUACAUAAUAAUUUCACAGAAAUAUUCAACCUACCUUUACUUUGCAGAAGAAAUCUGAGUGCCCUAAGCAAUUUUUCCCUGGAAACUCCUAC
rnacentral:lncRNA from 1 species